UCUACGAGGAAGUCACGGUACGUUUGAUCCAGCACACUCGCUUCUCCCAAAAUUCGUAUGAUCAUUAGAAAUUCAAAACUAGUCAAGAAAAGAUAUGAAAUGGAAUGCACUUGUAGGCAGAGGAGCGUGUCCGGCUGUGGUACGACAAGAAAUGCGCGCAUCUGAGAGCCAGGAGCUGCCAUCAGGACCCCUGGACCAACCUCAGCAUCUCCCUCGCCUUCAAGAGGACUAGGGCUGCCAUCAGGACCUCCGGACCAAGCUCAACAUCUCCCUCUCCUCCGUCGACGCCGUGUCCCGGAGGGUUGUCGCCGUCCGCAACAACGAGCUGCUACCUGGUGCCUGCUGCCGUAGCUCGCUUAGCUCAUCCGAGGGUGCGUGUAUUUAUUGUAGUGUUCUGAAUCGAUCCCCAAGAACACUGAGGCUGCAGGUGUUUGAUGAAUGUUUCUGAUUGUGUUCUAUGUAUAGGUUGGCAAGGAUGUAGCUGAGUGAUCCGCGUGCACCACCGGGUGAUGAAGCGCAUGGCGGACGAGGCGAGUGUUCUCGUCGUGGGUCGUGUGGUCGUUCAUCAAGACUUGUUGUGUAUGUACAUGUGCUAUCCUGAUUGAAAAAGGCAACUGAAAAGGAGCCGUAUCAGGCGGCGCCUCUUGAUCUCCCAUGCUUCUAAUUAACCAUCUGAUUGAUUUCAAUUCCUGUAUGAUAUGCAUGGCAAUAUAAUAUUAU
rnacentral:lncRNA from 1 species